rnacentral:rRNA from 1 species
UGAUGGCGUACUUUUUGUAGAACGGUCCGGCGAGUUACUAAUGCCAGCGAGGUUAAGAUGUCAGAAGCAUCGGAGCCGAAGGGAAACCAAGUCUGAAUAGGGCGUAGAGUUGGUAUUAGUAGACCCGAAACCGGGUGACCUAUCCAUGUCCAGGUUGAAGGAACCGUAAAAGGUUUUGGAGGACCGAACACACAUGUGUUGAAAAACGUGGUGAUGAGGUGUGGAUAGCGGAGAAAUUCCAAUCGAACUCGGAGAUAGCUGGUUCUCCUCGAAAUAGCUUUAGGGCUAGCCUCGAGCUGGAGUCUAACGGAGGUAAAGCACUGAACUGACGCGGGGCCCAAAAAGGUUACCAACUCAUAUCAAACUAAGAAUGCCGUCAAGAUACCCUCGGGAGUCAGUCUGCGUGAGAUAAGUCGCGUGGACAAAAGGGAAAGAGCCCAGACCGACAGCUAAGGUCCCAAAGUACGUGUUAAGUGGAAAAGGAUGUGGGAUUUCAUAGACAACUAGGAUGUUGGCUUAGAAGCAGCCAUACAUUUAAAGAGUGCGUAAUAGCUCACUAGUCGAGAAAACCUGCGCCGAAAAUGUAACGGGGCUAAAACACGACACCGAAGCUACGGAUUCCUUACAAAGUAAGGAGUGGUAGAGGAGCAUCCUGCAAGGACGAAGCCAAAGUGAGAGCGAUGGUGGACGAAACAGGAGAGAGAAUGCCGGAAUGAGUAGCGAGAUACAUGUGAGAAACAUGUAGGCCGAAUAUCUAAGGAUUCCUGGGUAAAGCUAAUCUUCCCAGGGUUAGUCGGGGCCUAAGGCGAGGACGAAAGUCGUAGUCGAUGGAUAACAGGUUGAUAUUCCUGUACUACACAUAAUCAGAACUGUGGGGACGCAGGAGGAUAGGGAAACCGGGGAAUGGAAAGACCCGGUCAAGCGUAAAGCUGUGGGAGAUAGGCAAAUCCGUCUUCUGUAAGUGAAACGUGAUGAGGACUGAAAAAAAGUAAGGAAGUUUCCGAAUCCACACUGCCGAGAAAAGCCGCUAUUGCGUUAUGUGUACCCGUACCGUAAACCGACACAGGUAGAUGAGGAGAAAAUCCACAGGCCGACGGGAGAAGUGUUGUUAAGGAACUCGGCAAAAUGACCCCGUAACUUCGGGAUAAGGGGAGCCUCGCAAGAGGCCGCAGAAAAGAGGCACAAGCAACUGUUUAGCAAAAACAUAGGUCUAUGCGAAACCGUAAGGUGAAGUAUAUGGGCUGACGCCUGCCCGGUGCUGGAAGGUUAAAAGGAGAGGUCAGCGCAAGCGAAGCUUUGAAUUCAAGCCCCAGUAAACGGCGGCCGUAACUAUAACGGUCCUAAGGUAGCGAAAUUCCUUGUCAGGUAAGUUCUGACCCGCACGAAAGGCGUAAUGAUUUGUGCACUGUCUCGACAACACGCCCGGUGAAAUUGAAGAACCAGUGAAGAUACUGGUUACCCGCAACAGGACGGAAAGACCCCAUGGAGCUUUACUGCAGCCUGAUACUGGGAUUCGAUGAUAUAUGUACAGGAUAGGUGGGAGGCUAAGAAGCGAGAACGCUAGUUUUCGUGGAGCCGCCGGUGGGAUACCACUCUUAUGUCAUUGAAUUUCUAACCUGCAUCCGUAAUCCGGGUGAGGGACAAUGUCAGGCGGGCAGUUUGACUGGGGCGGUCGCCUCCUAAAAGGUAACGGAGGCGCUCGAAGGUCACCUCAGAAUGAUUGGAAACCAUUCAAAGAGUGUAAAGGCAAAAGGUGGCUUGACUGCGAGAGCGACGGCUCGAGCAGGUACGAAAGUAGGACUUAGUGAUCCGGUG